rnacentral:rRNA from 1 species
CAGGUUAGUUUUACCCUACUGAUGGAGUGUUAUCGUAAUGGUAAUUGAGGGUAGUACGAGAGGAACUGCUCAUUCAGAUAAUUGGUAUUUGCGCCUGUCCGAUCGGGCAAUGGCGCGAAGCUAUCAUCUGCUAGAUUAUGGCUGAACGCCUCUAAGUCAGAAUCUGUGCCAGAAACGAUGAUGUUGGUCCCGCACAUGUUAGUUGUGUUUAAAUAGAGCUUCGGCUUGUGAACCAUAAAUGUUGGCUUAGUAGCUUGGACGGAAAGGUCCUUGUUGCUCGCUGAUGAAUUGAAAUUUAGAUAUGGGCGGGGGUGAAUCCUUUGCAGACGACUUAUUGGGAACGGAGUGCUGUAAGCAGUAGAGUA